AAGGGAGACCUAAUUCAGGUAUGGGACGAAAAAAAGUAGUCGCUACCAAGAAUCAAUCCCAAAAGGUCGGAGCGAGGCGAAAUUGGCUUUCAAACUAGGUUCUGGGUUCACACAAGACCUGAAUCAGGAACAAGGGCUAUUAGCUCAGGUGGUUAGAGCGCACCCCUGAUAAGGGUGAGGUCCCUGGUUCGAGUCCAGGAUGGCCCACCUGCACAGGUGGCAAAAACAAGAGAAGCUCCGAAUCAGCACCUUAUCUUACUUAUAUAGUAAGAGAGAAUGCUGGCUCUGAGUAAAGAGUCCAGAGGAACCUUGAAAACUGCAUAGAGCUAGGUGAAAAAGCCAAAAAAGAAGACCGCAA
rnacentral:tRNA from 1 species